rnacentral:rRNA from 1 species
CGGGUGCGUACACGUCGACCAACCUCGCCCGUCGGUGGUGGGGGAGUACGGCCGGGCUAACGCCCGGGUAAUACCGCAUACGGUCCUUUGGGGGAGUCCCUGGGGGAAGAAAGCCCGUGGCAACACGGGCGCACGGGGAGGGGGUCGCGGCCUAUCAGCUUGUUGGCGGGGUAAUGGCCCACCAAGGCGACGACGGGUAGCUGGUCUGAGAGGAUGGCCAGCCACAUUGGGACUGAGAGACGGCCCAG